AUUGAACGCUGGCGGCAUGCCUAACACAUGCAAGUCGAACGGGGUAGCAAUACCCAGUGGCGGACGGGUGAGGAAUACAUAGGAAUUUGCCUUUAGGUGGGGGAUAGCCCGGGGAAACUCGGAGUAAUACCGCAUGAUGUCGAAAGACCAAAGUAGGGGAUCGCAAGACCUUGCGCCUUUAGAGAAGCCUAUGUCUGAUUAGCUAGUUGGUAGGGUAAUGGCCUACCAAGGCGACGANCAGUAACUGGUCUGAGAGGACGAUCAGUCACACCGGAACUGAGACACGGUCCGGACUCCUACGGGAGGCAGCAGUGGGGAAUUUUCCGCAAUGGGCGAAAGCCUGACGGAGUGACGCCGCGUGUGGGACGAAGGCCUUCGGUCGUAAACC
rnacentral:rRNA from 1 species